AACGAACGCUGGCGGCAGGCCUAACACAUGCAAGUCGAACGCCGUAGCAAUACGGAGUGGCAGACGGGUGAGUAACACGUGGGAACGUACCCUUCGGUUCGGGAUAACUCAGGGAAACUUGAGCUAAUACCGGAUACGUCCGAGAGGAGAAAGAUUUAUCGCCGAGGGAUCGGCCCGCGUCUGAUUAGCUUGUUGGUGAGGUAACGGCUCACCAAGGCGACGAUCAGUAGCUGGCUGAGAGGAUGAUCAGCCACAUUGGGACUGAGACACGGCCCAAACUCCUACGGGAGGCAGCAGUGGGGAAUAUUGGACAAUGGGCGAAAGCCUGAUCCAGCCAUGCCGCGUGAGUGAUGAAGG
rnacentral:rRNA from 1 species